rnacentral:rRNA from 1 species
CUUUGGUUCUAUUUUGUUGGUUUUAAGGACCAAUGUCAUGAUGAAUAGGGACAGUUGGGGGCAUUCGUAUUCCGAAGCUAGAGGUGAAAUUCUUGGAUUUUCGGAAGACGAACUACUGCGAAAGCAUUUGCCAAGGAUGUUUUCAUUAAUCAAGAACGAAAGUUAGGGGAUCGAAGACGAUUAGAUACCGUCGUAGUCUUAACCAUAAACGAUGCCGACUAGGGAUCGGUGAACGUCGAUUGUGACUUCAUCGGCACCUUACGAGAAAUCAAAGUUUUUGGGUUCUGGGGGGAGUAUAGUCGCAAGGCCGAAACUUAAAGGAAUUGACGGAAGGGCACCACCAGGAGUGGAGCCUGCGGCUUAAUUUGACUCAACACGGGAAAACUCACCAGGUCCAGACAUAGUAAGGAUUGACAGAUUGAGAGCUCUUUCAUGAUUUUAUGGGUGGUGGUGCAUGGCCGUUCUUAGUUGGUGGAGUGAUUUGUCUGGUUAAUUCCGAUAACGAACGAGACCUUAACCUGCUAACUAGUUUACUGAACGUGAGUUCUGGCCCACUUCUUAAAGGGACUAUCUGUGACUAACAGAUGGAAGUUUGAAGCAAUAACAGGUCUGUGAUGCCCUUAAAUGUUCUGGGCCGCACGCCCGCUACACUGAUCAAGUCAGCGAGUAUUCACCUUGAGCGGAGGUGUGGGUAAUCUCUUGAAACUUUAUCGUGA